UUUAGGCACAACACCGGAAACAGACAAGUAAACGGAAGUGAACAAGGCUAAGAACAACUUCCACGUUAGCGGUUUUAUUUAGACGUUUUAACAUCCUGGAACUCAAAAUCGGAUUAAUUGAACUGCACAUCAUCACCCCGUGUAGUGUUUAGUUCGAGUUUGAGACAGGAUUUAUUUGAUAGCUAACUAGCUAACAAUGGCUAACUGUAUGAUUUUUCACACUCAAAUUGCCUCCAUCAUGGAGGUUCUAGCGAAUGCAGCCGUGGCAGAGAUCUGUAAACUCGUAGACGACGACUAUGCAGUGUUUCGUUUGGAAAUAACUCAAAGCCAGAAAGAAAACAGGGCAUUGCGGAGGAAACUACUGGAAUCGAAGGUGGCACGGGAGCGCGCAGAAAGGACAACGCGAGAGCGCGUCCUCGCCAGUCGUCCCAGUAGUGUCAAGAUUGUCGAACGAUACAGAGGAAUGGCAAGAGGUGAAGGACAUCUCACUGGAGGCCACAGGACCUUUGUGAAGCCAGUGGGACACAUUACUUGGAGAGAUGACCAACCAAUCACUGUUGAUGAGGGGAGUGGAACCUCAACCCAGAACGUUAUCAUGAUAGAGUCUGCAGAUGCAGAGGCUGAAGAUCCUGGUGUCAAGCUAGAGAGGUCUGAAGGAGAGGAGGACCCAUGGCACAGCAGAGACAUCCAAACUGGAACGGCUGAAGCGCCACAUGUAAACAGAAAAGACCCAACCGCCCCAGCACAGCCAAGGACCCGACGCAGCAUCACGGAGGUCAGUGGAAUGUCGAACGCCGUCCUCAAGUCAGAGACAGACACCAAGACUUUAACUGUAACACACAGUCUCUUACACACAGGAUGUGACCACAUAUCAGAUCCAGAGAGACUGGGGCUGGGGAGACUGGGCUGUCCUCCUGCUCCCGGCUCAGAGUACUUACCAGUAUUUCAACAGAGCCAGAGAACGGUUAAUUCCAGUGGGGAUGGUAACUCGUUAGACACUAGUGGUGAUGAUUCAUCUUGUUCUUACGCUACAGAGAUGGACCCUAGCAACAUAUCCUUGGGUUUAGAGACACAAACUCAUCUGUCAAGAGGGGACUGGAACCGGUACAGUAGCAGUGUAUACUCUGAAGGGUGCCUAGAUAAGAAAGGGGAGGGUCUGGUUGUAGAUGAAGUGACCAUGAAAGUGGAGGGCGACGUUCCUCCCACUCCCACAAAUGCAGAUAGUCACCUAGUAGACAGACACUCACAGGGCAGAGAUUUCUUAAAUUACAGGGGAAGCUUAGAGACAAAUCCAAAUGUCACGACCCACUCCCCUUUACACACGUUCAGGGAUCAUGACCAAGUGUCUACGUCGAUGGGGCCUUCCGAUUUACACAGCCGUGUCCUUUUCGAUCAGGUAUUGAAUUCAAACGACAGGGCUAAAGCCCAGACUCGGGGAGGGGUAACCACAUCAGGCAAUAGCAAAGAGAAACGGUUCCUCUGCAUGUUCUGUAACAAAGGCUUCAGCUGCCUCCAGAAGGUGGAGGUCCACCAGAGGAUCCACACAGGGGUGAAACCCUUCAGCUGUACCCAGUGUCACAUGCGCUUCGCCCAGGCUGGCACCCUGAAGAGGCACCAGAGGGUCCACACAGGGGUGAAACCCUUCAGCUGUACCCAGUGUAACAUGCGCUUCGCCCAGGCUGGUGACCUGAAGAGGCACCAAAGGGUCCACACAGGGGAGAAACCCUACAGCUGCCCCCAGUGUGAGAAGAGAUUUACCCGCCAGCACCAGCUGAAGAUGCACAUGAAGGUCCACACGGGAGAGAGGCCGUUCGCCUGUACGCACUGCGGGAAGAGAUUCUCAGAUAGGAGCUACCUCAGGAUACACCAGCAGAAAAAACAUUCCACUCAAUAGCUUCAGAUGUUUAGAUAUAUUAAAUAUAAAGAUUCAUUUUCAUUGUUGUCAGCAGAAAGGACCCACAGAUGCAUUUGGAAUAAUGCGAGUAGCAGAUUUCAGUGUUGAAUAUUCCUGGGUAGAAUAUUGCAUCCAGACAUGUGAUAUAUAUUUUAGGCAUAUUUGUGCCUAAAAAGUCUGUUACAUAUUGUGUUUGUACUGUGUAGGCCAGGGAUGGGCAGCAUUGAUGGGUGUGGGAGCCACAAAAAAAUCGGAACUCAGUCAGAGCCCGCCCUAGCCUUUUGGGGGCCCUAAGCUAUAUUUUGCGAGUAAAGCAUUUUAGCAAAGAGAAAAAAUUGUAGUUUUAGAGUUCAUUUCCUGCAAUUCUACACAUUUUGUCAUGGGGCAUAGAGAAAAUGUUGCAAUUUUUAAGCAAGUUUUCUGCAAUUCUACACAUUUUUGCCAUGAGGUGGAUAGAAGAUUGCAAUUUUUUAAUGUAAUUUUAUGCAAUUCUACUCAUGAUCAUGAGGGCCCCCAGGUCAGUAAUUAAAUCAUGAUUGCUACAAGUUUGGAAAUAAAAUGUAUUUUGCCAGAGGGUGGAAACAACUGCUUGCAGUUUUUUAUAUGAUAUCUAACGAUCAAUUGGUUGCCCCCUGUCAGUAAUUCGGCCAUGAUUACUACAAGUUUAGAUAGCUUGGGGGGGUUAAUCCAUAGGCAAAAGGGUUGCCCAUCCCUGGUGUAGACUAUAUGUGACGCGCUCUAUAAUAAUCAGUCGGAAGUAGCAAUUACUAAUUUGCAUAUAAAUUGUGUUUUGUCGAAAUUGAGAUUUUUUGCUAUUUGGGUGUUUCAUCUGGUUUUAACAAAACAAUGUCUUUGCUUUCAUCAUCUGUAUGUGUUAUUGCCAAAUUCAGUAUGAAUAUAGUUUUUAAUCCUUUAAACGUAGGAUGAAAUGUAGCACUUUCCAAUCCGUUUGGUGGAUGCUAGCUUGUAACACAUCAGGCUUUUGAGGCACUAGCUUAUCUGCACUAUCAAAACCCUCAUCUAUUCCGAAAUCAUGAAUGAAUUACAAACGAGCUAGCUCUCUAUAUAGUUUAAAUCAAGCUACAAUAAGCUAUUCAAUCGGAUGAUUUUCCUGUUUUCCCAAUCAAAGCUACUGUAGUGUAUCAUCCGCGGGAAAAGGCUACACUCUCUCGCUCAUAAAGACCCAUCAUACAUAGUUACACUGUCACUACUGCCUACACCGUAGCUAGUUAGCUUUGCUUUCAACUGCACUGAUGGAUUUCCGGGAGAGAGAAAUCGCAAGAUUUUUAAAUAGUAAUGUUGUGCUGAGAGCUGGUUCAGACGAUCAGUGGCAUCAACUUAUUGCCGGCUACUUUUUGACCCUGCGCCACAGAGCAAUGACAUAAGCGACUCAGACAAGCUCACUGAAGUCGAGGCCGAGCACCUUGAGGAGGCAACCGAGGAAGACCACCUGUGCACCAGUUAAUGGUGAAUCGAUCAAUGACGGCGCUUCAGUCGGUCGAGGGGAAAUAUGUCAGUGGUGCUGGGCAAGAAAUUGAAAAGGAUUGCGAGUUCAGGUGAACGUGCAAGUCCAAUAAAGGGAAGCCGUGAUAUUUGGUUUUUACCCCCGAGGAGAUGGUCAAGAGACGUGACCAGAUGAAUUAGCUAACUCACCAAUGUUGUCUUAUUUUUCAGAUGAAAAACAUCUAGUGCUCAUUGGCAAGAUCUCUGGUUCCAUGAACCUCUGCAAGGAAAUGGUCAUCUCGAACCGGAACUAACAAAAAGAAAACAUCAGAGGACAUAUUUCUUUGAGCAAAUCUGCAGAGAAACAUUCAAGUUCCGACACGCGUAAGUUUUCAUUUGAGUAAUACAACCUGAUGUCCUCUGUUCUUAUUGGGGCUGCAACAGUAUUAACAAGUUCAUGAGAUAUUUAAGAAAAGAUGAGUAGUAGGCUAAAUCAUGAAUAGAAAUAAAACAGCUGAGAAUACAUUGUGCCUUUCAGCACAUUUUAACAGGCAUGUUUAAAAAUGUCAGAAUUUCUACAAAAAGCUGACUGCAGUGAUAAAGUUCUAUAGUUCUAUGGAUCGUGAUAAGGCUCCAAGGAAAAAAGAGGUGUGGUGGUCAUCUCGCCACACUCAGUGAAUUGUCCACUAUGUCAACAACUUCACCAAUAUCCACGCGGUGCCGCUCCCAGGACAGAUCCCUGGAUUUAAGAAGUCAGACAUCCUGAUGCUACCGACAUUUCAGACCAAAGUCCUGUGUGGCGCUAGUAUAAAAACGUUCAUGCGUGAUCAUGGUGAGUGUUUUCCUAAAUCUCUAUACUUAUAUUUGUACCAAACGCUCGUCAGCUCAAGCCAGUGACAAAGACUCUAGCCAAAGCCCACACGAAUCGGAUCCAAAGAGACUGUCGGACCUUACUCUCUGGUGACGCACUGGUGUAGUCAGAUUUUCUUUAACGUUUCUCAUUUUAGUUGUUGCUUAGAGACCAGGACUUACUCUGACCAAUUUUAGCUCAUUCUCUGGCUUGUACACUACAUUACCAAAAGUAUGUGGACACCUGCUCGUUAAACAUCUCAUUCCAAAACCAUGGGCAUUAAUAUGGAGUUGGUCCCCCCUUUGCUGCUAUAA